UGCUGAGAAAGGCGUUUGCUGG
rnacentral:piRNA from 1 species